UAUUUUGCUCUAUGAGCCACAACUCAUGUGUGUUUAUUUGUCAUUCUGCAAACACACUCUGGACCUCUGAGUCCAAAUGUCCACUUGUGUUUUUUUUCCUGAAUUCAUCCCACCAGCAGAGGGCGCCCCUGUGCCUUCUACAUAAACGGGGGAUGCCUUCUCCCACAGCUCAAAUCCCCACUCCCCGUUUUCAGAGAAACUGUGAUGAGGAGUAGCCCAGCUUUUUUCCUCUUUUCUUUCCACACUGUCAGAAAAGCUAAUGCACCACGAGCAACCUCCAGCGUCAACACAAGUGUCGGGACUCCCCCAGGAUGCUGUCCAAGUGCCCGCACAGCGGACACAAAGUGUCGGGCUGUGUGCUCGUCCUCUGCUUCCUCUUCAUCAACUUCGCUGAUGGCAGCUCUGGAAAAAGUUCACAGAGUCAAGAUGAGAUGCAUGCCAUCCACAGCAACCAACUUGACCUGCGGGAGAUAGUGUUUAUCAUCCAGAGCCAGAGCAACUCCUUCCACGUCAGGCAGGCAGAAAGACGGCGAGCACAUUUACUCGAGCAGGCACAAAACCUUACAAAGAAAGCACCGGCGGUUUUGCUUCUUCACAGACUGUCAGAUAAUGAGGGGGACUGGAGCAUCCUCCCUCUGCUGCCGGAGUUCUCACGCUCCUUUGGAAAAAACUCGUCCUGGCUGGUGUUUCUCGAGGAGAAAACUCAUGUCAAGAUGUCUGCUUUUGUCCAAGUCCUGGCAAAAUUUGACAAGAAUAAAGAGUGGUUUGUCGGAAAGCCGCUCUUCGAUAAGGAGUCGACCAUCAUCCAUCACUACGCCUUUGCCGAGAACCCUUCCAUCUUUAAAUACCCAGACUUUGCUGCUGCUUGGGCUCUAAGCAUGCCCUUGGUAGUUCGGCUUGCAAACAAAGUGAGAGAUGAGCCACUGAAGUCUGACUUCACGAUUGACCUGAAACAUGAGAUUGCUUUGUAUAUCUGGGACGGCGGGAAAGGACCGCAUCUCACCGCCGCUCCGGAAUUGUGCACUGAGCCAGAGGACUCUCUGCGUGCCCAGCACUGUGCCACCACUCUGAGCAAAGAGCCUACACAGUGCGGGGAGCCUGUAAAGAAAGAGGACAUAUUUGUUGCUGUGAAAACGUGCAGAAAGUUUCACAAUGAAAGAGUUCCAGUGAUAAAGAGGACCUGGGAAAAGGAUGCGGUUUUGUUGGAGUACUACAGCGACCACGCUGAUCCUUCCAUACCCACCAUUAAUUUAGGAGUGCCAAACACGGAGAGAGGUCACUGUGGGAAAACAUUUGCAAUCCUUCAAAGAUUUCUAAGCAGCCACGUCCCAAACACUAAGUGGCUUCUUGUUGUGGACGAUGACACGCUCAUCAGCCUACCUAGGCUUCAAGCUCUGCUGAGCUGUUACGACCCCUCGGAGCCAGUCUCUCUAGGAGAGAGGUACGGCUACGGCUUGAGCCAAGGCGGCUACAGCUACAUCACAGGAGGUGGAGGUCAUGCCCUAAAAAAUCUCCGUCAAACACCUAGAGGGAAGAGAGAUGUGGCCUAACCUAACCCACUACGGACGUUUAUGGUACAGCAUCUUGCCUAAGGACAUUUCAACUUGUAACCGAGGUGAUCAAAAAUUCUGCAGCAGAGAGACGACUACCUUCAAGCUGCAGCCACCAGCAAAUCACACUUUGAGUGAAUAAAUCAUGAUCUAGAAAAAAAAACAGCUUAGUUGUGAUUUUUACAUAUUUAAAUGUAUUUAUUUUUUACUUUAAUUGCUACCAAUUCCUUUAUUUCCCUACAUUGAUUUGAUGUUUUUUUGCAAAUGUAUUGUAUGUACUACAAAGAAUAAAUCUUAUUUAGGUUUAAAUUUUUUGUUGCGCUUUGCAACUCUAGACUGACAUUUGCACCGGCAAUAAAAACUAUCUGACAAGUUUUUGUUAAAUCUUUUAUUUUUAUGUGAAAGUCUAAGGGUUUCUUAUUUCAAUGAAGUGUCAGCUGCAUAUGCACUUUAACUCCACCACGCUGCUCUCACGCUGAAUAAAUAAAAUUCCCUUUGACCCCACGGUGACUGCUGGAAGAUGUACGGCGUGUUGUAUUUUUCUGGAGCUCCCCCAGCAUUUGAUGUGGAUUGCAGCUCCACGGCUCUGCUCUGUUUGUGCCGCUGCAGGAUGGUGUUCAGCAGAGAGGCGGUGGUCCGACUCCUCGACAGCGGCUGCAAGUGCUACAGCAAUGACGCGCCGGAUGAUAUGGUGCUUGGGAUGUGCCUCAAUGCUCUGGGGCUUCCCGUCACACACAGCCCCCUCUUCCACCAGGCGCGUCCAGAAGACUACCCCGCUGACCUCCUGGCCCACCAGGUCCCCAUCUCUUUCCAUAAACACUGGAACAUCGAUCCCAUCGCUGUUUUUAACAAGUGGCUGAGGGACAACUCCUCAGAAAAGUCUUCACAUGAACUCGAUAGGACCACAAAGACAGAGUUAUGAUGUUAAAAGUGUGGAAUCCUGUGUUAAUAAUUACAGAUAUAAAUGUUUUUUAUUGUAUUUCACUCAACUGAUAACAAUAUGAUACGAUAGAAGUUUUUACUGAUUGUGCAGAAAGUAUCAUUUGUAUUUAUUUAUAUCAAAUGACCAAUUUGAAUCUUUUUUUUUAAUUUAGGACUGUUUUUGUCUUUUUCUUUUUUUUUUUUUUUUUUAUUUUAAUCACUUUCAUUAAACCGCGUGAAUCGUGAGGUGUCUAAACAGAGACGGACUUAUCAUUAAGCAAAUGUUGGCGAUGACCUUGGUGGCUCCAAGCGGAAUAGUUUACAAAAGUUUCUAAAAUAAUUUUCAUGCAUAUUAUUAGCUAACUGUGUCAUAAAAAACCCAAAUCACUGAAGCAGAAUUCAAUUGCUCAGGAGCUUAACCCUUUAACACCAGAGCUCCUGUGUUUAUGUUCCUGUAUUUUUUAAAUUGUUAACACGAUCAACGUAAUACCAGCAGAUUUUGAAGGAGGAAAGCGGCUCAAAAUCUGCUGGAUUGAUGGUUGAAAAGUUACAGUAUGUAAAAGAUUUUGUGUUUAAGCGUCAUAGAUGGCGCCUCAGGUGUUAAAGGGUUAAUCAUUCCCCUGACCUUCUGCAGGAAUGGAAUAUUCUGUCAACAGCUAGCAAGUUAGCAAAUCGAGAGAGAACUUUUAAAAGAGAUUAAAACAAACCAAAACAAAAAAGUGAGGAAACAAGAAAUGUGUUGCAGCACUUCCUAAAGUGCAGGCAGACAAAAAAGAAAAAGAGCAACAGAAUUAUGAGAAAACUGAAAAAGUUAUGAGUGAGGAAAAAAACGGAAUUCUACAAGAAUAAAGUAACAUUAUAGGAAAGAACCAUCACCUGUUUAACUUGAGUUGUAGGAAGUUCAGAGAAAUAGGAUGGACUGCUAGAGUCUUGCUGAAUCCUUUACUUUUAAGUAAAUGUUGAUUUCAACAAAUUAAAACUUUUUUUUGAAAAAUUUUCCAUUUAAAAUUAAACAUUUUUCAAUUAAUACAUUUAUGAUUUUGUUCUUGUGAAAUUCUGACUUUGUUCUCAUGCUUUUACUGCUAUUUUAUAUGUAUUUUUCUUCCAUUGUGGUCCCUAUUCUCCAUUUUAAAACAAGGUACAGAAAUUGAGAGAAAAGGCAUGGGGGGGGAGGGUCUGACUGAGAAUUUUUCUUUUUAAUUUGACACCACUUCAUAGUGACUUUUUUCUUCCAUCAUUUUAACCACUUUAGCUUUUUUUUUUAGUAAACCCUGACUAAUACAAUUAAUACAACCAGCGCAGAUGGUUCCAUGUUAUUGUUCGCCUGGGGCCCCCAUAAUGCUAUGUCCGCCACUGUGCCUAAAGAUGUUAGUCAAACUAAAGUAUGGCAGACCAAUAUUUGUGGCCAAAUUGUGAAGUUGUAAAGCAUGUUGAAGGUUGGAAAUGAGUUGCAAAAGAUGCCCAAAAGAAAGUUAUUGGAAAGUUUUCUUGGCAAUUUAGAUAAAAGCCUUAUUUUAUUCUAACCUCAACCUCCUUUUUUUGUGUUGUUGAUUUUGGUUAAAUCAUUCGGUUUCACUGAGUGACUUUAACCUCACGCACUGAGGGAAAAAUCUUUAAUUCAUGGACAUACUUCCUAAAGAAACAUUACAUCGUGGUCUGAGGCUAGAAGAGCUUCUAUGAACAUCAGCUCCCAUUUUCAUUUCUCUAUUUUCUCGCUCUCGGAUAAUUAAUUGGCAGGCUUAGUAAUUUGCUGACCAUUAUUGGAAAUCAUUCCAAGGCUUCCAGCAUGAGAAUGAGAAUAAAACAUUUUUCAUUUGGACUUUUGCCAUCUUAAAAAAUGCAAUUUCUUCUCGUGUACUUCAUUCUCAUAAAAUCUGGAGGUGACUGUAACAGUGACAAAGACUAUUAAAAAAAAAAAAAAA